rnacentral:rRNA from 1 species
UACGUAGGCAGCGAGCGUUGUUCGGAGUUACUGGGCGUAAAGCGUGCGUAGGCGGUGUCUUAAGUUUGUUGUGAAAUCUCCCGGCUUAACCGGGAGGGUGCGGCGAAUACUGAGAUGCUGGAGUGCCGGAGAGGUAAGCGGAAUUCCUGGUGUAGCGGUGAAAUGCGUAGAUAUCAGGAGGAACACCUGCGGUGUAGACGGCUUACUGGACGGUAACUGACGCUGAGGCACGAAAGCGUGGGGAGCAAACGGG